UGAUGUUGACAUUGCAGGAAAUGGAGUUAGCUGUGGCUGCGAAUAAACUAGCAGAAUGUCAGAAGACAAUUGCAUCACUCGGAAACCAACUGAAAUCCCUUGCAACCCUCGAAGAUAUCUUCUUAGAGUCAGAGAAGUUGUUGGAGGUUCCUAAAAAGAGUCAGAGAUUCUACAUAAUGAUAUAAAACCUGAUACAUCAGUAUCUUCAGAAACUGCUCAGGAUGCAUCAACAUUGAGCAAGGAGGAUGCAGCAGCUGAUUCAGCUACUUCCUAUUGUUUAUGGUUGUAACAGAUGUACUGAAUUGGGAGUUUAAUUUUCAGUUGAAUGACUAGUAUGAUCAGUGAGAGUCUGAAGGUCAUUAUUUAACAA